rnacentral:rRNA from 1 species
GUAGCAAGCUUAACCGUUUAGGGGAGGCGUAGGGAAACCGAGUCUUAAUAGGGCGAAUGAGUUGCAGGGAGUAGACCCGAAACCAGGCGAUCUAUCCAUGGCCAGGGUGAAGGUUGAGUAACAUCAACUGGAGGCCCGAACCCACUAAUGUUGAAAAAUUAGGGGAUGAGCUGUGGAUCGGAGUGAAAGGCUAAUCAAGCCCGGAGAUAGCUGGUUCUCCUCGAAAUCUAUUUAGGUAGAGCGUCGUGUCUUACCCUGGGGGGUAGAGCACUGUUUCGGCUAGGGGGUCAUCCCGACUUACCAACCCGAUGCAAACUCCGAAUACCAGUGAGUGCAAUCAUGGGAGACACACGGCGGGUGCUAACGUCCGUCGUGGAGAGGGAAACAACCCAGACCGCCAGCUAAGGUCCCAAAUAUCAGUUAAGUGGGAAACGAUGUGGGAAGGCUCAGACAGCUAGGAGGUUGGCUUAGAAGCAGCCAUCCUUUAAAGAAAGCGUAAUAGCUCACUAGUCGAGUCGGCCUGCGUGGAAGAUAUAACGGGGCUAAAUCAUAAACCGAAGCUACAGAUCUUAAAUUUAUUUAAGAUGGUAGAAGAGCGUUCUGUAAGCGGUUGAAGGUAAGCUGAGAGGCGAACUGGACGUAUCAGAAGUGCGAAUGUUGACAUGAGUAACGAUCAAAGAGGUGAAAAACCUCUUCGCCGAAAAACCAAGGGUUCCUGUCCAACGCUAAUCGAGGCAGGGUGAGGCGGCCCCUAAGGCGAGGGCGAAAGCCGUAGUCGAUGGGAAACAGGUUAAUAUUCCUGUACUUUUUACAACUGCGAUGGGGUGACGGAGAAGGUUAGGCUAGCACGGCGACGGUUGUCCGUGUUCAAGGUUGUAGGCUGGUGUUUUAGGUAAAUCCGGAACGCUAAGGCUGAGAACUGAUAACGACCACUCUAUGAGUGGGAAGUAGUCGAUACCAUGCUUCCAGGAAAAACCUCUAAGCUUCAGGUUAUAAGAAACCGUACCCUAAACCGACACAGGUGGUUAGGUCGAGUAGACCAAGGUGUUUGAGAGAACUAUGGUGAAGGAACUAGGCAAAAUAGCACCGUAACUUCGGGAGAAGGUGCGCCGCGGUUAGUGAUGAGACUUGCUCUCUAAGCUGAACGUGGUCGAAGAUACCAGGUGGCUGCGACUGUUUACUAAAAACAUAGCACUCUGCAAACUCGUAAGAGGAAGUAUAGGGUGUGACGCCUGCCCGGUGCCGGAAGGUUAAUUGAUGGGGUUAGCUUAUGCGAAGCUCUUGAUCGAAGCCCCGGUAAACGGCGGCCGUAACUAUAACGGUCCUAAGGUAGCGAAAUUCCUUGUCGGGUAAGUUCCGACCUGCACGAAUGGCGUAACGAUGGCCACACUGUCUCCACCAUAGACUCAGUGAAAUUGAAAUCGCUGUUAAGAUGCAGUGUACCCGCAGCUAGACGGAAAGACCCCGUGCACCUUUACUAUAGGUUCGCACUGGACUUUGAUCUUACUUGUGUAGGAUAGGUGGGAGACUUUGAAGCAGAGACGCUAGUCUUUGUGGAGUCAUCCUUGAAAUACCACCCUUGUAAGAUUGAAGUUCUAACCUAGGUCCAUUAUCUGGAUCAGGGACAGUGUGUGCUGGGUAGUUUGACUGGGGCGGUCUCCUCCCAAAGAGUAACGGAGGAGUACGAAGGUAUCCUUAUCACGGUCGGACAUCGUGAGGUAAGUAUAAAGGCAGAAGGAUGCUUGACUGCGAGAUCGACGGAUCGAGCAGGUAGGAAACUAGGUCUUAGUGAUCCGGUGGUUCUGAAUGGAAGGGCCAUCGCUCAACGGAUAAAAGGUACGCCGGGGAUAACAGGCUGAUACCGCCCAAGAGUUCAUAUCGACGGCGGUGUUUGGCACCUCGAUGUCGGCUCAUCACAUCCUGGGGCUGGAGCAGGUCCCAAGGGUAUGGCUGUUCGCCAUUUAAAGUGGUACGCGAGCUGGGUUUAGAACGUCGUGAGACAGUUCGGUCCCUAUCUGCCGUGGGCGUUGGAGAAUUGAGGGAAGCUGCUCCUAGUACGAGAGGACCGGAGUGGACGAACCUCUGGUGUUCCGGUUGUCACGCCAGUGGCAUUGCCGGGUAGCUAUGUUCGGAAAGGAUAACCGCUGAAAGCAUAUAAGCGGGAAGCCUCUCCCAAGAUUAAAUCUCCCAGAGACUUUAUGUCUCCUAAAGAGUCGUCAUAGACUAUGACGUUGAUAGGCAAGAUGUGUAAGCGUUGUGAGGCGUUGAGCUAACUUGUACUAAUAACUCGUGAGGCUUGAUCAU